ensembl:lncRNA
AUAAAUGUAACAAUCCAGGCAAACCUGGGAGCCUACUAGUGAGUCAUAUGCAACUGAACCAAAAAUAUUUAAUGCUGUAGUAAACAUUUAUGAAGUGUCUGUGCCACCCUUUGCAAAGGGAUAAAGUGGUCAGUCAGUGUGCUACUAUGUGCAUCCAAAGAGCUGAAAUAAUACUUUUUUGUACUUUAAAUGUAAAAUAGUGUAAAUAAUAAUGUAAAUCAGGUUAUGAGUUAAGGCCUUGCAACCUCUUUCUUUCACUUGAAUGCCAGUUGUGCCAGGUGCCCACCCUCCUUCUCCAGAAAAGAAGCUUCUGUCCCUCAGAAUCUGCUCCUGCUGCAACCACUGCCCUGACACAAAUGAGAGCUGGAGAACUCUCUGCUUCACAGUUUGAGAUGCAUUUUUUUCAGCUAUAAGAACCCAACCACACAGUGUAUCUCAAACAAGUACUAGAGAACUUUACCUGAGUUGGUUUUGCCUACCCUCUAUAAACAGAAAAAUCAAUGGUCUUUGUUCUUUUAUUGAGGAAAAAAAGUACUUUUUUCCCACCUGGGAGGGCUAAUGGGAUACUCUGGUGUGCAGCACCAUUUCAGCAGUGAGGGAGGUGUCCCUACUUGAUCACUGCUAAUGAAAGACUUCAACCAGAUGUUCAUGCUGCUUCUGGGACAUAAAAUUUCAGGUUCUGGCUCUCCUGAUCCAUCACUUUGUUAAGCCUCUUUGGGGUCCUGUGCAGCACUUUUUGAGUGUAGUCCCAUGGAGGGUGUGACCUGAAAGUCAUGGCCUUUUCAGUGGCCAGAGGGUGAAAAGUGGUGCUGUGGAACACCUCUAUAAACUUGGCUGCAAAGGCUGAGUGUUCUGAUGGACACUGACAGGUGUCCGAGCCACCCAGGUUAUGUCUGAGUCCCCGACAGAGUAAACCAAACAACACCCGUGUGCAAAGCUAAGAAGUUAUCUUUUUUCCCCUCUAGAUUUCAGACCAGCAAGAUCUAAUAACCUUUACUUUGGUCUCCUGCACAUCUUUCUGAAAAACGAAGCAUGUCAGAUCCUCAGAAAUGAAAGGACAUGGGAUAACCUAACACCUGAAUUGACAUGGCCGUGUCUUCUGUCAUUUCUCAGUAUUUUGCUAUCCCAUGUUUUAUGUGGCUCACCUUUCACAUUGACAAAAGAGACAACAGAUGUAUCUUCUUUUAUUUCUAGAAUACAUGAUUCCUUUAGAGCUGCUCUGUCAUUUAUCUUGCCAAAUAUUUAGCGGUGCUCAGUAUGUGAGGCUCUUCAGGAAGAUUAUAUGAUUUCUCAUUCUUGCUGCCUAGAAUUUAAACAAAUGCCAAAAAAAUGAUAUAUUAAAGAGGAAGAGGAAAUAAUUGUCAAACGAUGCUGCUGGGAGCUAAAUCACUGUUUCAGAAAUUGAGGAUUACUAGCCACCAGUCUGGGUUGGUGGACCUGCUUGGAUGCCAAGCAUCAACAUCAGUUUCCAUGCUGGAUGCAUGAAAACAUGCAGUCAUGAGAGCCUGUUGUCGCUUUCCAGAGGACUAUAACAAAGGUUUAUCACAAUAGCAGCCCUCAAAAUCAGGAUAGUUCAAAGCAGUAGCAGCCUUGCAAAUAAUUACACAUGCUGUUUAUUUUGUGUGUGAGUAUUUUUAUCUUGUUUUCUUCUCAUCCUCAGAGUUGCAAGUUUUUAUCAGAGGUUUUUGCAGAGUGGAACUGGAAUCUGUUCACACACUCCACCCAAUAACACUGAGUGUGGGCAGAGGUGCCCAUGCCCGUUUCAGUGCCACAGGGAGAGAGCAGGUCGUGGCACAUGAGGAAUGUGAAACUGUUGUUUAUGCUUAUUCUAAUGAAAGAACUAACAGAGGACAGUUCCUUUACAAAAAGCAAAUUAAAUACUUUUUAACAAGAUCUAGGAGAAUUUACGAAGCUUGUUGUAAAAGCAAAUAUCGUAAAUACAUUUUUAUGCCAAACUUCCUGGGGCCUGAGAGUCAGAUGGUGAGAAAUAACCCUAUGAAAUGGUAGCUUCAAGAAAUAGUGUGCACAGGUAAUACUGCACUCAUAUUUUGGUGUCAUCCACUGCUGCUCUGCCAAAUUUGAUUCCAACUCAAAUUAUUCAGGAAGACACAAUAUUAAGCUGGUUCCUCAGACUGGAGAGAUGGAAGAUAGCUCUGGACAGAACUUCAAGAGUGAGAAAUUAAUUUGAUAAUCUGGGGACAACACAUAAUUAGGAGUCCAUUGGACAUGGAGGGCGUUUCUUAGCACAGGUGGGUCUCUGACCAGGUAUUGGCACCUGCCCUGUCUUUCCUGUGAAAGUUUAGAUGUUUCCAAACUAUGCCUAAAAAGUUGAGGGGAGGAGACAAGCUUUGAACUUUCCUUUUUUGGUAGUUCCUUGAUCGUUCAUCAGCCUUGUUUUUCCUGUCAUCUUUGUCUGCCCCUCCCUGCAAGCAAAGACGCCUUGUUGUUAGUAGAGAUUUUUUUGAUGUAGCCAGGAUUAGAACGGACUAUUUCGCAGCCCAUUCUUUAUUCUCAGUUCAGAACUUACAGACUGCUCUCUGCAAUGUUGUAGUGAGAUCUGGGAAAAUAAUAUCAAGCUGUAUCUAAACAAGUGGAUUAAGGGAAGCCCUUGGAAUAGGACAGAGUUGGGGUAACUUGCUGGAUCUCAUGUCUGAUUGCUGGCUACUUCCCUAGGGACAGCUUUUCCUCCUGGCAGAGUUUAGGAGCUAGCUUUCAGUUUCUUUCAUGAUCAGCAUUUUGUACUGAAUGUUUUAAAAUGUUUGGGAAAUGCAGCAUAAGGCACAUUGAGGGUGUUACCUUUAAUUGGACUAACUUUACAAAUUAAUAUUGAAAAGUUUUCUCCUUGUUGUGUUGCUGUUGACCUGAUGUUAAGAAUAGCCUGUGCUGGUCUGCAGGAGAAGAGUAGAGGAAUAUAUUUUGCUUUUGGUUUUUCCGUGCUUUGAAUUUUGGUGGGACAGGAGAGGUUGCUAUUAUGUUUAGGAAAAAAAGUCUGAACAUGAAUAGGAAAUAUUUUCAAAGGUCUUUUUAGGGAGUUGGGCUGCCUGUGAUGAUCUGUUCAUGGAUGCAGCUGGGAAAGGCUCCAGCCAGUGUGAAGGUGUUGGCAAUAUCUGUUUGUCAGUUUCAGAACCAGCAAGGUCUUAAAGGUAGAUGGACUUUUUUUUUUUUUUUUUUUUAGACCUGGUGAGAUUCCUUUGGCAAUCACUGCUCAGAAAUUAAUGGCAUUAUGGAAUGGAAUUGCAAUUGCCUGCUUUGACCUCAAAAUAUUACUGUGUCAUCCUUGCCUGUUUCUCUUCCUUUCUUCCUGGAAAAUAAACAUUAGAUAAGCGUCAGGUAGAUUCUUUUCUAGCUUAUUCAUUAGCAGCAGCAGUAGUGUUGUUAAUUAUGUUUAGAUUGUAGAUGCUGUACUAUGAGUGGCCAGAGAACACAGAAUUAGUUUCAGAUUUUUAUAGCUAGAAGGUGGGAAAAUCCUUGUCUGGGUUGCAGACUAAGCAGAUUUCCUCUGGAUAUCACUGAGGCAAUAAACAAUAAGCUGCAACUCUUUUAUCAUAGCUUUGCUCUCCGUGCACAGAUUUUACUGUGAGAAAUAGCACAGCCCACUUCCUGGAGUGUCUGGUUCUCUUUAUUUACAUGUGUCAUCUUCUCAGCUUCAGCUGGUAGAGUUUUUUUCUUUAUCCUUUUUUUUAAAUUUUUACAAGAACAGUCAGAAUGUUCUUGAGGAGCCUAUGACUGUUUUUUUGGGUCCUCCUAUAUGAGUUAGGAGCCUGCCAAAGCCUACAGCCAUCCUCCCUGAGCAGCAAGCAGGACGGGAUCUGGUUAUUUGACAUAAUAAAGAACUACAACCUUUCUGUUUAUUUUUAGUUUUUAAAUUUAUUUUAAUUUUCAAAAUGCUUUGGUUUUAAUCAGUUUAUAAACAAUUUGUCUGUCUGUGACUAAAAAUAUCUGAAUAAUUUUUUACUAAAGCCCCACCCUGAGCACAAGUAAGGGAGUGUGGUGCUGCAAAUACGUCUAUCUUACAAAACCUUUCUCUCACCCGCUCUUGCCAUCCCGAUGUGGUGUAUUUCUGACAAGCUGAACUGAAGGUAUCCAAUGCACCUGACAGUGUUUUCUGACUUUCUCAGCCUUCUGGAAGAGACUUCUUCCGAAUAUGCAUUACAUUAGCUUUAUGCUCUUUUGUCCCUUUAAAAGUGCAUGGGGGAUUUUGCUGGUUACUGGGAUGUGUUCAGCAUUACAAAAGUGUUUCAAAUAACCAAAUUUUACUCCCAGUGUCCUCAGGUCUUCCUCAUGAUUUCUUCUUCUGAAGUGGGUUUGCACAUGUUCCUAUGGGCUUUUUGCAUCAACACUUGGUAAGCACUGUGUGUUGAUAAGACAUGAUAGCACAUUCCUGAGAAAUCCCUGGAAGCACAGGGCACACAUUUCACUGUGUGGAGACAGACAAAGCAUGUUUAAGUAGAUCUGAAGCAGGGCAGACCCUUCUCAGCCCCGAGUUCCUCGGAAUUUAGUGGAAACUUCAAUGUUGGAUGAGGAAUUUGAGGUGGAACAUGAAACAGCCCCUUUCAUCCUCAGCUGAAGUGCUGGUACUCAUUUUGUCCUUGGUAAUUAAAGGGUAUUUCUUGUUUUUCCUCACUCUUUCAAGUCUGUAUCAGUAAGAUCUUUGGAGUAAUUGCUCAGAACAAUAACAUGGAAGUAGAACAUCACUAAUCUCCUUGGCUGGGAAAAUUGUGAAAGGGAAUGAAAAAAGGGAGAAUUUCCCUGUCAGAGCUGCAGUUCAGAGCUCAGUGGGGUCUGAGAACGGAAAGAGCAGCUCUGUGUAGGCUUUGAAGAGGUAAAUCCUUGAAUUCACAGUGAGUAAGUUGCACAUAACAGGAAAUAUCAGACUGUUAACAAUUCUGAUCAAUUUCAAGGAACUAAGCAACUAGUGUCAGAGAAAUGGGUGCAAGAAAUGUUUAAAAAGAAAACUAAUACAAGUAGAGAGAAAAACAGACAAGGAUUUAAAUAUAUCAUAAGCACAACACAACUAAUUCAUCUGAUAAAGGAAGAUACAAGACAGAAGAAGUGAUUGAUGUAGCUCAAAGAUUUGAUGGUACAAAGCCACCUUUACUUGAAAUGAUUAAAGGAAAUAGGGCAAAAAUCAGAAUAUUGAGGAUUAUUUACGAUAUAAAGAGAGGAAGAGUAAUCAAAAAGGUUGACUAAAUUCUAAAACGAAAUAAGAAAUGGCUUAUGGUGUAUGUGGGGUGGAGGGAAUAAAGAAAUCAUCACAGAGAGUCACUCAGGAAUCUAAAAUGGAUGAGCCCUAAACUGAUUUCAUAAAUGGGCCUUGACAAAGGGGAGAACACAGCAGCACAAGGCUAUUUGUGAGCAAUGGAAACAUUUCACAAUGUGGGAUGUUAAUAGAACACUUGGAAAGGAGGACUAUAAAUAGAAGACCACUUCCAUGUAUGUGUCCUUUAUGUAAAAGAAAUUAAUUAGUUUUUUUUUUUUUUGCAAAAUAUUGAGAAUUAAUUUGGAAGAUAAUAAACUGCUGAGCGAGGGAUUGCAGAAUCCAUGUGAGGAACACCUUUUCCUUUUUAUCCUUUCAAAAAAGAUAUUCAAGUCAGUAUUGCACAGUACAUGGUAAAAUAUUGUCCAAAUUUUUCUGGCUCAUGAUCUGUGAAGCAUAAUCACUAAAAUGCUCCUAUGCUUGAAAGCAUGUCUAUCAUGAGGCACCUCCUGCUUCAAGACAGCUGCCUGGAUGCUUUUUCUGGUCUUCUUAGUAAGUGUGGAUGACUCUGGGUAUCUAAAGAAGUAAAAUAACUUUUUGUUUAAGGGGUGUUAUUCCUGUAAGUUUGAAUCAACCAGACUGGAUUUAUUCUGCUGGUGAAUCUUUGACAGAGCUAAUGUCUACUUAGCCACAGGAAUGUGAAUGCCCUGGGAAGCAUCAGGGUACCAGCAUUGCAUAGAGAAUAUGAGGUUUGCUGUUACAGGGAGAGGUAUUUUUAAACAUCUAAUACAUAGUAGGUGCCUAAAAUAAAUAGCAGAUUUUUAUCAGUAACUUCUGAUCAAGGAUUAUAUUGUAUUUGAGAAGAGUGACAGUGGCAGUGUUGCAGAAUUCCAUCAAAUUGGAUUUGAUUUCUCAAUAAUUUUUGUAUUAAUUUCUGCAUGCAAGAGGGAAAAAGUGAAUUCAGAAGGAACUGACUGCUGUGAAAAUAUGCAAGGCUGACACUACAAGCCUAAGACUUUCCCCAUAGAGGACCCGGACCAAAAAAAAAAAAA